rnacentral:rRNA from 1 species
AAUGAACAGGGAUGAGCUCAUUGUUAAAAUCAGGGUCCCCGACUCUGAGUUGUAGCCUGGAGAUGCGUCGCCAACAGGGGCGUGGGUGCGAACCUCUUGGAAAAGAGCAUCAAGGAGGGUGAGAAUCCCAUGCAUCACCUGUGGCCCCCUGUGCUCGGCGCGCUUUCUAAGAGUCACGCUCCUCGGGAUUGGAGCGCAAAGUGGGUGGUAAAUGCCAUCUUAAGCUAAAUAUGGGUUCGAGACCGAUAGCAAACAAGUACCAUGAGGGAAAGGUGAAAAGGACUUUGGAAAGAGAGUUAAAAGUGCCUGAAAUUGCUGUAAGGGAAGCGAAUGGAACCAGUCAGCCUCGGCGAGAUUGCUGCGCGCUCAAGUGAGGCCCUGCUCCGGUAGUGCAAACACGGCUGCAGGCGUCGACCUGGUUGCGCGUGGUCGCUUCUUGCUCUGGGUGUCAGCGUCAGCUCAACUCUGAGGACAACCCCAAGGACAUGGAAGGCCGCCCCCGGGUGGCUGAAGUUGCUUGGCGGAACUCAAGCGUGGACUGCUGGGCGCAACGCGCCUGCNCUGACGACAUGGAUUCGUUCGGCCCGUCUUGAAACACGGACCAAGGA